AGUGAACGCUGGCGGUAGGCCUAACACAUGCAAGUCGAACGGCAGCACGAGAGAGCUUGCUCUCUUGGUGGCGAGUGGCGGACGGGUGAGGAAUACAUCGGAAUCUACCCUGUCGUGGGG
rnacentral:rRNA from 1 species